rnacentral:misc_RNA from 1 species
GCGCUUAUGAUACCAUAUCCCUUCCUAUGCAAUUCAACAUUAUAAAAAAGUCCAAUCAUGAUUCUCCCAAGGUAACAUGCAUGCAUAAAAUGUGCACUAGAAAUAAUGGGCAGAAAAUAAUAAAUGGAACAAAGAUCAUAUUUGUCUCUUUACUUUUGCUUGAUGUAUAAAUAAGCCCAAAUUGAGCUUUUUGCCCACUUGAUCAGCACCUUCCUGUUAAGCCUGUUUAAAACCAUUUUCUGACAGGUUGUAAACAUUUGUAGAUGGCACACCAGAAAAUCAUAAAAAAUUGAGGAAAAUAUUAUUUUUUAUUUGAUUAAAAUAUUUAUUGUUGUGAAAUCCCCAUUCACAAAACCCAAAUUUAGAGCAUUUCAUUCUCUCUCCUCCAACCUCUCACCACCAUUUUCUCUCAGAUUUUCCCUCACUUUUCCAAAAAGUAAAAGAAAGAAAUCCACCUCUCUUAGGCAAACUUCUUCUCUUUCUUCACUCUCUCACAUUACCCUAGGAGUGCCUGCAAAUUCCCAAGCGGGCCCUGAUUCAACCCAAUCCACCAAAGUCUCCUCCAUAACCUCUAAAAUGAAGGCCUGGGUAUAUAAGGAAUGUGGAGGUGUCAAUGUUAUGAAGUUUGCCGAUAAAGUUUUUGUACCUGAAGUAAAGAGGACCAGAUUUUGAUCAAGUUUGUU